rnacentral:lncRNA from 1 species
CAAAAACGGGGUCGAAAAUUGACUUUUUUCCGAAUUUUCAAAGUGCUAUAAUUCCACCUGUUCUGGUCGAAUUCUGUUAUAAUCCGGUGUUUUCGUAAUGUGGGUGAUGGGAAUAAGCCGCUGAUAGAGGUUUCUAUAGCUAUUUUCGGGUUUAAAGAAAAUCGAUUUUUCGCAUUUUUAAAGUGCUAUAAUUCCCUUAGUUUUUCUCAAAACUCAUUAUAACCCGGUGUUUUCGUGUUGUAGGUGAUGGGAACAAGCCGCUGGUAUAGUUAGUUCAAAUUUAAAAAAAAUCAAUUUUUGGUGAAAAAUUCGAUACGGGGGGGUAUACCCUGAAAAUGAAAAAUCUCAAACUUUGGAGGUCCAUAUCUCGGCUUCUAUGGGCCCUAUCGGGAAAAUUCCAACGGUUUUGUCUUAGUUUCGUCGUCCUGAAUCCAACGAGACCAUCCGCAAGGUCGUAGCUCCCAUAUUAGCUGAGAUCUGGCAUUUUUGUGGCCCAUUUUUGGGCUCAAAAACGGGGUCGAAAAUUGACUUUUUUCCGAAUUUUCAAAGUGCUAUAAUUCCACCUGUUCUGGUCGAAUUCUGUUAUAAUCCGGUGUUUUCGUAAUGUGGGUGAUGGGAAUAAGCCGCUGAUAGAGGUUUCUAUAGCUAUUUUCGGGUUUAAAGAAAAUCGAUUUUUCGCAUUUUCAAAGUGCUAUAAUUCCCUUAGUUUUUCUCAAAACUCAUUAUAACCCGGUGUUUUCGUGUUGUAGGUGAUGGGAACAAGCCGCUGGUAUAGUUAGUUCAAAUUUAAAAAAAAUCAAUUUUUGGUGAAAAAUUCGAUACGGGGGGGUAUACCCUGAAAAUGAAAAAUCUCAAACUUUGGAGGUCCAUAUCUCGGCUUCUAUGGGCCCUAUCGGGAAAAUUCCAACGGUUUUGACUUAGUUUCGUCGUCCUGAAUCCAACGAGACCAUCCGCAAGGUCGUAGCUCCCAUAUUAGCUGAGAUCUCGCAUUUUUGUGGCCCAUUUUUGGGCUCAAAAACGGGGUCGAAAAUUGACUUUUUUCCGAAUUUUCAAAGUGCUAUAAUUCCACCUUUUCUGGUCGAAUUCUGUUAUAAUCCGGUGUUUUCGUAAUGUAAGUGAUGGAAAUAAGCCGCUGAUAGAGGUUUCUAUAGCUAUUUUCGGGUAUAAAGAAAAUCGAUUUUUCGCAUUUUCAAAGUGCUAUAAUUCCCUUAGUUUUUCUCAAAACUCAUUAUAACCCGGUGUUUUCGUGUUGUAGGUGAUGGGAACAAGCCGCUGGUAUAGUUAGUUCAAAUUUAAAAAAAAUCAAUUUUUGGUGAAAAAUUCGAUACGGGGGGGUAUACCCUGAAAAUGAAAAAUCUCAAACUUUGGAGGUCCAUAUCUCGGCUUCUAUGGGCCCUAUCGGGAAAAUUCCAACGGUUUUGUCUUAGUUUCGUCGUCCUGAAUCCAACGAGACCAUCCGCAAGGUCGUAGCUCCCAUAUUAGCUGAGAUCUGGCAUUUUUGUGGCCCAUUUUUGGGCUCAAAAACGGGGUCGAAAAUUGACUUUUUUCCGAAUUUUCAAAGUGCUAUAAUUCCACCUGUUCUGGUCGAAUUCUGUUAUAAUCCGGUGUUUUCGUAAUGUGGGUGAUGGGAAUAAGCCGCUGAUAGAGGUUUCUAUAGCUAUUUUCGGGUUUAAAGAAAAUCGAUUUUUCGCAUUUUCAAAGUGCUAUAAUUCCCUUAGUUUUUCUCAAAACUCAUUAUAACCCGGUGUUUUCGUGUUGUAGGUGAUGGGAACAAGCCGCUGGUAUAGUUAGUUCAAAUUUUAAAAAAAUCAAUUUUUGGUGAAAAAUUCGAUACGGGGGGGUAUACCCUGAAAAUGAAAAAUCUCAAACUUUGGAGGUCCAUAUCUCGGCUUCUAUGGGCCCUAUCGGGAAAAUUCCAACGGUUUUGUCUUAGUUUCGUCGUCCUGAAUCCAACGAGACCAUCCGCAAGGUCGUAGCUCCCAUAUUAGCUGAGAUCUGGCAUUUUUGUGGCCCAUUUUUGGGCUCAA